AUUGAACGCUGGCGGAAUGCUUUACACAUGCAAGUCGAACGGCAGCACGGACUUCGGUCUGGUGGCGAGUGGCGAACGGGUGAGUAAUAUAUCGGAACGUGCCCAGUCGUGGGGGAUAACGUAGUGAAAAUUACGCUAAUACCGCAUACGAUCUAAGGAUGAAAGCGGGGGAUCGCAAGACCUCGCGCGAUUGGAGCGGCCGAUAUCAGAUUAGGUAGUUGGUGGGAUAAAAGCUUACCAAGCCGACGAUCUGUAGCUGGUCUGAGAGGACGAUCAGCCACACUGGGACUGAGACACGGCCCAGACUCCUACGGGAGGCAGCAGUGGGGAAUUUUGGACAAUGGGCGCAAGCCUGAUCCAGCCAUGCCGCGUGCAGGAUGAAGGCCUUCGGGUUGUAAACUGCUUUUGUACGGAACGAAAAGACUCUGGUUAAUACCUGGGGUCCAUGACGGUACCGUAAGAAUAAGCACCGGCUAACUACGUGCCAGCAGCCGCCGUAAGAC
rnacentral:rRNA from 1 species